UACGAAGGGGGGCUAGCGUUGCUCGGAAUACUGGGCGUAAAGCGUGCGCAGGCGGCUUUGCAAGACAGAUGUGAAAUCCCCGGGCUUAACCUGGGAACUGCAUUUGUGACUGCAUGGCUAGAGUGCGGCAGAGGGGGAUGGAAUUCCGCGUGUAGCAGUGAAAUGCGUAGAUAUGCGGAGGAACACCGAUGGCGAAGGCAAUCCCCUGGGCCUGCACUGACGCUCAUGCACGAAAGCGUGGGGAGCAAACAGG
rnacentral:rRNA from 1 species